rnacentral:rRNA from 1 species
GACGAACGCUGGCGGCGUGCUUAAUACAUGCAAGUCGAGCGAAUGGAUUAAGAGCUUGCUCUUAUGAAGUUAGCGGCGGACGGGUGAGUAACACGUGGGUAACCUGCCCAUAAGACUGGGAUAACUCCGGGAAACCGGGGCUAAUACCGGAUAACAUUUUGAACCGCAUGGUUCGAAAUUGAAAGGCGGCUUCGGCUGUCACUUAUGGAUGGUCCCGCGUCGCAUUAGCUAGUUGGUGAGGUAACGGCUCACCAAGGCAACGAUGCGUAGCCGACCUGAGAGGGUGAUCGGCCACACUGGGACUGAGACACGGCCCAGACUCCUACGGGAGGCAGCAGUAGGGAAUCUUCCGCAAUGGACGAAAGUCUGACGGAGCAACGCCGCGUGAGUGAUGAAGGCUUUCGGGUCGUAAAACUCUGUUGUUAGGGAAGAACAAGUGCUAGUUGAAUAAGCUGGCACCUUGACGGUACCUAACCAGAAAGCCACGGCUAACUACGUGCCAGCCGCCGCCGUAA